AGAUAAACUGAAUCUGUAAAAGUCGAAUGGAAUGUGCUCCAGAUCUCCCACUUCAGGGAGGAGGUUUAUGAAUCAUUAAUGAUAAAUUUGCAAUUUUCUAUCUACGUAUUCAUUAAUUUUCUUUUCAGCCACAGUGAGAGGAGAAAGCUUUCCGUUUUGUAGAAUUUUAACUAUGAUUUUUAAAAAAUGUAAUAGUAUUUUAAGCUUCUUCUGUUGUGGAGAUAAACACCAUGACCAAAAGCAACAUGAGAAAGAAACAGGUUAAAGACUGAUCGUCAUUUAGAGAAGCCAAGACCGAAGCUCAAGGCAGGUCCAUGGAGGCUGGAGUUGAAGUGCAGAUCAUGUAGCACUGGUGAUGACAGGGAUUGUUCUUCAGCUCAUGGUUAGUCACCUUUCUAUAUGUCCCAGACCUACAUGCCUAGGGAUGGUACCAAUCACAAUGGGCUGGUUCCUCCCAUGUCAUUUAGCAAUGAAGAAAGUUUCAACAUUCAACAAAGUCCUGAUGGAGGUGACUCUUCCAUUGAGUCCCCCCUCCAGGCAUGUGAAGUUGACAACAAAGAGUAGCUCUUCUAUCUUUUUUGUUAGAUAUAGAAUAUGGAAAGUACUUGAGGCAGUUCUUUACUACCAGUAAAACAUCCUCAAACCACUAUCACCAUGCCAGACAAUCCAGACCACCUCUCUGGUACCUUCUAUUUGUACAAGGAUGCUUUCUGCCUUUAUUUAUGCAUUGAGCACCCACUCCACUGUUUUUGAGUGCUUUUCUAGAUGGUGUAAUUCAGAUUUCCCAUUUUCAUAUCCAAGUAAAUCUUUGCAAGUUAGUUUAAACUAUAAGUGCCCUUGUUAUUAACCUCUCUCAUUGAAAAAAAAAAACUAUUUCUUUAUCAUACAAGCAAGGUUUUUCACACUCAGAAUUUUUGACAAUUUGAGUAAGGCGCUCUACACCGUGAGGGACUUCCCUGUUAUUCAUUAUGAGAUAAUUACUAAUGCGCCAGUCUCUAUCCAUUUGACUCCAAUAUUUAUUUCUUCCUAGCUAUGGCAAUCAAACACAUCUCUAAACACUGAAAUUUUUAAGAGGGACCAAAAAAUUAGUUCCACUUAAGAACAGUAGUUGUAGAUGUCCCUCUUGUCCUCUUAACUUUCUGAAAAUUGGAUCACAGAACUGAGUCUUAAUUUAUAUUAGUUUAUUCAUUUAAUACUUAUUUAUUCAUUGAUAAGAUUGCUUACUAUGUGAUUUUGGGGACAUUGUUGCAACAGCACAGAGCACUGUUAAUUCUUCCUGGUGUUAUAUAGCUACCAGAUAUGCCUGUACUUAGAGCCUUUGUAAAGAGAUAUUGCGGAAGAUCAACAUCUUUCCAGUUUUAUCCCCGGCCUUUGUCACUCACUUGUCAGAGUAUUUUUGUCAGCACAAGUGGUCUGUCAUCUAAGAUUUAAUAAUAAGGCUAGUUUGAAUGGAAAAGAUAAGAGUUCUUAAAACAUAAGAGCAACUCAGAAAGCACUCACGAGGAAGACACAGAACACUGGUGUAUCUCAUUUGAAUUACCCAGAACCUCCUUUUCAGAGUCUAUCUUUGAGUCCAGAUUUGUUUUACUACAGACUCUAUGUUGUUUCCAAGACUUUACACUGACAGUUCCAAUUUAGGUAGUAUGGCUACAAGGAACAGUGAGAGACAACCUUGAUACCUUUCAAUAGUUCCGUGUGAGGGAAGGAGAUGAAUGUAAAUUAUGUUGCCUACCAUGGUGAAAGUCUUGCUGAGUCUGAUGAGUGUGGGUGUGGCUGACUCAAUAGUGGGGGGUGGGGGCGGAGAACAUGGCAGUUAUGCUGGUCCCCAUUCCACUGAUGAGCUGGACCUUCCUUCAAAUCUGAGAAAGUAUAUUCACGUGACAAAGAUGAGGAUAGUUGACUACCAGGUUUAAUAUAUUCUAGGGAUCUGUUUUCUGCAAUUAGCUUGAGGUGUGAUCUUACUCCCCAGCCAUGCUCAGAUAUUCCGUGGUACUUAUUCUAAUCAGCUGCUUCUACUCCUGUACAAUGGGGCUUACUGCUCUUCUCUGACCUUCCAGCUUCCUGUUUAGGACCUAGGGAAUAAUGUCCGGAGCUGAGUUCUGAAAUUUGGUCAGAUUUCACAUUGCUCCAGGCAGAAAUUUAACAUAUGAUGAACCUGAAACCAAAGAUCCAGAAAAGAUGUUUGUGGGCAAGGGGCUCUGUGGUUCAUUCCUGGGUUGGAGAUCACCUGACUAUGGCAUCUGCGUGGGACUAUACCCAGGUAUGGGGGUUAGAAUAUGUGUAGGAUGUACCUUGACUGACAUGAAGUAAAGAUGGGGCAGCAGUGGAAAGAAGAGAAUCAGUCAUCCUAACAGACUCCUCUUCACUCCGCACCUGAUGUAGAUUCUGUAUGGUGUUUACGUGAAGGUAUUCUCUGCUGGUAUCACAAAUCCCUCCUACAUUCACAGCACAGAUUGAUUUCAGUACAUAUCCAUAUGUGGUACUGUAUGGCUACUUGAAAGCUUUAUUUUAGAAUAUAACCAGAGGAAAAGCUUUUGUGUAAAAUGGUGUCUUUAUUGUUUGGCCAAGACAUAUAUUUAUAUUAACCCUUAUGCAUUCUUUGGGUUAUUGGAAGCUUUGCUGUGAACAGAUGUCCAUACUGUUUCGUAGGCAGCUCAAGUAAGCUACCAUUUGGAUGGACACUAUUAUAUAGACAUGGGUGUCAGAAACCACCGACUUACUAUACAUAGGUCAGCAUUUGGUGGGUCUUGCACUGACUGCCUUGUCUGGGGCCUAGCAUUAGCUUUUUGUACCAAUCUAAGAAAUACAGAAUGAACUAUUAAAGAGAAAUAUCGAAAUACUAAAGACAGUCUACAUAAACAUAUAUACAAUAUCCUGUCAUAAUACUAAUCAAAGAAUGAGUAUUUGAACAGUGUUAUUUAUUUUCUUUUGUUUCACGUGUUGAAUUUCAUUCAUUUAAAAUUAUUUCCUUUUUUCCCUUCUCUCCCCAACAUUUCCUAUGCUUCUCUCUUCACUCUUUAUGUGCUCUGCACUCCACUCAUUCUUUAGUCUUCCCUCCUCCUCCUCAUUCUCUUUUUUCUUCUUCUGUUUCUAUUAUUUCAUUGAGAGUGUGAUUACAAUAUACAUUUCUAGAGGUACAAUAAUUAAAACAUCGUUUCUGGGAGAUAUUCUUCAGGGUGUAUGCAGAGUUUUCGAAUGCUACCUCUUUUGACCCAGCAAUUUCUCUUCUUAGCAUCUGUUCUAAAAGAAUGAGCAGAAGUGAAGACAGAGAUUAAUAUACAAAGCAUUUGCUGCAUUGUUACUUAUAAUAGCAAACUUUGAAAACUAUCCCUAGCCCAAUAGUAGAGAGUUGAAUGUUUCUACAGCUUGUUGUUCAUCCUGGCAGGCAAUUAUACAACCAUUAGAAGCAGGAUUCCUGAAGACUGUUGAAUCUUGUCACAUGGAAAUGCCCAGGGCAUGUAUUCAGUCAGGUGCAAUACUAG
rnacentral:lncRNA from 1 species